rnacentral:lncRNA from 1 species
UAAAAGCAAGAUUGGCCCAUACACAAUAUAUCAUGGAGUAGCUCUAGUGAAUUUGAAAUUCUUAUAUUCUCCCAGAUCUUCUGAGUUUUCUAAGUAGAGCAGGCAAUUCUCUGGUUAAUUUUGACCUUAUGCUAAAUUUGUCCAGUGUUAUAAUUCCAGGCCAUUAGAGUGGAAGAGGAACAUGAAAUUAUGCUUUUGACAAAAUAGAAAUAAGAAUAAUUCAUGAAUACCAUUUCAUUUUCCCCUUUUUAUUUUGAGCACAGAAUUCAUUCUCAAAAAUUCAGGGAGGAAAAAGGAAAGAAGCUCUUUGCCUCAAAUUUGUUAAAUACUUAAUAUCUUAGAUUCAUUUCCCACAACACUGAUUCCCUAUACCUCCUUCCAUUUGGGCCUUGGGUUCUCUUUGUGAAGACAAAGAAAAUGCCCUUAUUGUUACCAAAUAACAGAAAACCAUGUAAAACAGGUUUACAAGUCCAUUGGUUCCAUCUCUCUGACUACAUACAGUCAGUAUACCUAAAGCAACCUUUUAUAGUUCUAUAAUUUUUUUUUUAUCCAUAGCCAUAUCAAUUUACAAGAUUCUGACCAUUUGUUAAAAAAGAAAAUAGUUACACACACAUAAUAUACACAAAUAUACACACAUACAAGUGAAUAAACAUUAACAAUAUUUGUAUAUUAAUCUUGAUUUCCUAGGAACCAGACUUAAAAGGCUGUCCCUAAGAUAACUUCUAUUGUAUAUAUGACUCAUUAGUGUGUGAAAGAGACUCCCAAAUGGAUCUUCAAGCUCCAUGAGAAGGAUAUACCAACAGAGCAACACAAACAUGUCUUGUGGUCAUGAUGACUGGAAUCCAUUAGAGAGGAAUGGUGAAUGGAUGAAGAGAAAUUUGAGAGAAAUCAGAGGAACUCUCAAGGUAAUAGCAAGGUGGCAGUUAAAUGUAAUACUAGAUAGAUUGUUGCCCUUAGAAAGAAGAUCAGAAUCCAUAUCCUGCCUCAAACCCUUACUAAUUGUUUUACUUGGGCAGGUCAAUUAACUUCUCUCACUUUUGUCCUCUAUAAAAUGG